rnacentral:lncRNA from 1 species
UGUGAAUAGGAAAAGGGAGAGAAAGAGAGAGAUAAAUGCAUAUUGAAUUGGUUUGAAGGGUUUGGAGGGAUAACAUUAUAAUUUUACAUAAUAUGUAAGAUUAUUCGUCAUUAAUAAUACGAGAUAUUUCUCCACCACUCGAUAAUAUUUUUACGGUACGUUUGGUUCGUGCUAUUUUUUUAAGAUUCCUAAUAAUCCAAUAGGAAUAAAAAAAAUAUGACAGUGUUUGAUUAAACGCACUAAGUAAUCUAGUUGGUAAUACUAGAUUUACUUGGGAUGAGAUGCAUCCCAAAGUACUAAUCUCAUUCUUUUGAGAGAGUGUGGGUAUCAUUAUAUUAAUGAACGGCCCGGCCCGGCACGGCGCGUGCCUGCAGGGCCAAAGGGUCGUGCCGGGC